UAGACAGUUGCAUACAGAACAUCAGUCAUUGUAGCUAUUAAUGGAGCUCUUGGUGUUAUCAACAUACCCUACAAUGUGAUCUGUAAUAAUUAUAAUUAUCUGCAAGAUUCAUAUAAAAAGUAUUUUGACAUUAUGAUUGUUUGAUGUGCUAGAGUAAUCAUUUUGAAGUUUCCAUGGCAACAAGGCAAUUAAUAAUAAACUUUAUAAAGAUGUUCCAGCCUUUAUGUUGAGAAGGAGAAGACAGGUCCACCCAGCUGAGUCAGGAGAUGAUGCUUAUGUGAGGAGGCGCUACACUGAUCUGAGUGUGAGCAUCCAUGUGGAGCAGUGUAGAGGUCAGGGUCUGGUUAAUCAUCACUGCCAUUGGCUGGAGGCUCACUUGAAGCAACUCUCUGAGGGGAGAAGACGGGAGGACUCACUACUAGACACACCUCGACCAGUCGGCUACCAGCCCCGGGGAAACCACUGGGCACACAACGAUCAUCCUAUAGACAAUACGUGUGAACAAACUCAAUGUGGAGCUGCACACACUUCUAAACUCUGUAUUAUUCUGUAAACAUUCUGUCACAAUCAUAAUUAAUAAAAAUCCACACGGAACACAAAAGAGAGUAAUUACAAGUCUCUAUAAUAAGAGAACA